UACAGAGGUCUCAAGCGUUGUUCGGAAUUACUGGGCGUAAAGGGUGCGUAGGCGGCGUGGUAAGUCAGUUGUGAAAGACCAAGGCUCAACCCUGGUAUUGCAACCGAUACUGCCGUGCUAGAGUGCUGGAGGGGAGUCUGGAAUUCACGGUGGAGCAGUGAAAUGCGUAGAUAUCGUGAGGAACACCAGUGGCGAAGGCGAGACUCUGGACAGCAACUGACGCUGAGGCACGAAGGCUAGGGUAGCGAACGGG
rnacentral:rRNA from 1 species